GAUGAACGCUGGCGGCGUGCUUAACACAUGCAAGUCGAGCGAAGCAGUUAAGAAGAUUCUUCGGAUGAUUCUUGAUUGACUGAGCGGCGGACGGGUGAGUAACGCGUGGGUGACCUGCCCCAUACCGGGGGAUAACAGCUGGAAACGGCUGCUAAUACCGCAUAAGCGCACAGAGCUGCAUGGCUCGGUGUGAAAAACUCCGGUGGUAUGGGAUGGGCCCGCGUCUGAUUAGGCAGUUGGCGGGGUAACGGCCCACCAAACCGACGAUCAGUAGCCGGCCUGAGAGGGCGACCGGCCACAUUGGGACUGAGACACGGCCCAAACUCCUACGGGAGGCAGCAGUGGGGAAUAUUGCACAAUGGGGGAAACCCUGAUGCAGCGACGCCGCGUGAGCGAAGAAGUAUUUCGGUAUGUAAAGCUCUAUCAGCAGGGAAGAUAAUGACGGU
rnacentral:rRNA from 1 species